rnacentral:antisense_RNA from 1 species
UGUAGGAGCGAGCCUGCUCGCGAAAGCGCCGGCUCAGUCGACAUUGAUGUUGAUUGUGCCGCCGUCUUCGCGAGCAGGCUCGCUCCCACA